rnacentral:rRNA from 1 species
GUGCACCAGUCGAGAAUCUUCCACAAUGGACGAAAGUCUGAUGGAGCGACGCCGCGUGCGGGAUGAAGGCCUUAUGGGUUGUAAACCGCUGUCAGGGGGGAAGAACAUCGGAAUGAACAAUACUCAUUCCGACUGACGUUACCCCCAGAGGAAGCUCCGGCCAACUCCGUGCCAGCAGCCGCGGUAAUACGGGGGGAGCAAGCGUUGUCCGGAAUUAUUGGGCGUAAAGGGCGUGUAGGCGGCGAGGUAGUCGAAUGUGAAAUCUCACGGCUCAACCGUGAAACUGCGUUCGAAACUACCCUGCUUGAGUACGGGAGA